UACACAGGUCCUGUUCUCUCAGCUGAGAUCCCCAGCUGUCAGGGGAGGAAUGACCUUUGGUGUUACUGGAGUGUAUACAGGUUUGUUGUUGGUGCAAAUUAUGUCUGUGUGCACCAUGGGAAAGAACAGGGGAAAUAAUAAAGGACAAAAAGGAGAGGAAAACCUCCGGAGAGAGAAAGAGAUGGUUGGAGUGAAGGAGGAUUGUAACUAUUCAUCUAAUCAACCAACUACAAGGGAGUACCGAAAACCUGCAGACACCUGGAUGGAAUUCAUUUGAGAUUUGAUUUACUGAUUUAAGUCGCUUUUACAUAGCACAUGAAUGAAUGGGGUGACAGGUUUAGGGACAAUUAUUUGGAUGUAGCUAGACACCACCAGACAGAACAGGUAGAAAAUGGUGAGACACUUAAAUGAAAGCUGCAAUAUUUGUAUCUUAUUAUUAGAACUAUGAUCCUAUACACAAAUAACGGAUAUUAUCAUGUAUACUGUGUACAGGCC
ensembl:lncRNA